UUUUUUGCAAAACACACCCAUUCCCUUCUCUCUCCCUCGUGAGAAAACCAAUUUCCAGCCCCCAACUCCCUGUCUCAACCCCUCAAUCUCCCUGCUGCUCUCAAGUGCCCUUCUUUCUCCCUCUUGAAAAAACCCAUUUCCAACCCCAUCUCCCUACUGUUCUCUCCCUACCUCAGCCCCUCUAUCUCUCUCCCUCUCUCUCAAGUGGCAACGGAAACCCCCCUCUCCCUUCCAAUGUCUCUCUCCAACAUAAGUGGCCAUGAAAGCAAUGGACCGCAAGCACGCAUGGUACCCUCAGUUUUUUUGGUUGCAGUUUGGGAACAGUUUGGAUGCAGAUUGAUUGGCUGGUAUCUAUUGAGUGGCAUUUUUUUUGUUAGCGUGGCUAAAGUUUGCAAUCCAGCCCGAUGAAGGAAUAGGGGUUGUUUCUGUGGUCAGCAGGAGAGGCCGACAAGAGCUCUUCAGGGAGAAGUUUGCCCUUUCGAGCCCUCUCUGCAGCUUUCUGCUUUGCUUGUUAUAUGUUAGGUAAGGCCCGACUUGUGGAGCCCUCCUGAAA